GCAUAAUAAAUAGUUUUUUAAUUGGAAACUGGAAUGAAGGGUUAAAACUAAAAAGAAAGUUUUAUUUAAUGAAUUUGAAAUUAAAUUAAAAGUAAAAAUGCUUUUAUUAAGCUUUGGGACGAGAAGACCCUAGAAGCUUAAAAUUUAUUUAAAAUUUUUUAUUGGGGUAAUAUUUGAAGACAAAAAUUUUUGAAAAUUUUAAAUUAUAUAAAAGGAAAGUUACUCUAGGGAUAACAGCAUUAUUUAGUUAACAAGUUCUUAUUAAUAACUAAGUUUGUGACCUCGAUGUUGAAUUAAAUUUUAUCUUUGGUGAAGGAGCUUAAGAGGAUAGUCUGUUCGACUAUUAAAAACUUACAUGAUUU
rnacentral:rRNA from 1 species